rnacentral:rRNA from 1 species
GACGAACGCUGGCGGCGUGCUUAACACAUGCAAGUCGAACGGAAAGGCCCUGCUUUUGUGGGGUGCUCGAGUGGCGAACGGGUGAGUAACACGUGAGUAACCUGCCCUUGACUUUGGGAUAACUUCAGGAAACUGGGGCUAAUACCGGAUAGGAGCUCCUGCUGCAUGGUGGGGGUUGGAAAGUUUCGGCGGUUGGGGAUGGACUCGCGGGUUAUCCGCUUGUUGGUGGGGUAGUGGCUUACCAAGGCUUUGACGGGUAGCCGGCCUGAGAGGGUGACCGGGCACAUUGGGACUGAGAUACGGCCCAGACUCCUACGGGAGGCAGCAGUGGGGAAUAUUGCACAAUGGGCGGAAGCCUGAUGCAGCAACGCCGCGUGCGGGAUGACGGCCUUCGGGUUGUAAACCGCUGUCGCCUGUGACGAAGCGUGAGUGACGGUAAUGGGUAAAGAAGCACCGGCUAACUACGUG